UCUCCGUAGGUGAACCUGCGGAGGGAUCAUUACAGAGUUCUCGCCCUCGCGGGUAGAUCUCCCACCCACUGUUAUCGUUACUGUGUUGCUUUGGCGGGCCGCCGGGCCCCGCUCGGCCGCCGGCUCCGGCUGGCGCGCGCCCGCCAGAGGCCCAGCAAACUCUGAAUGUUAGUGUCGUCUGAGUACUAUAUAAUAGUUAGAACUUUCAACAACGGAUCUCUUGGUUCUG
rnacentral:misc_RNA from 1 species